UUUUAGAGCAUCCCUUUUGGGUACCAGAAGACACACACAGGAUCAAAGGGCCAUGUGACCAAACCCCAAACCUGCAGACCCAACCUCAAAGGCCAAAAACAUCCUAGAGUACCGAGGAGCCCCUGGGGCACAAAUGGGGAGGACACACAGUGGCUGCCUGAGGCUGGAUGCUGCGAGGUGCAAGGAAGAGAUAAUGACAAGAGGAUGGCUAGACUGGACCCCAAAGGUGACUUGGAGAUGGGACUGUGCCCGAAAGGACAUCAAGUACAUUUCCCAGAGAAGAACACCUUCUUUAGAAAGAGUAUUAUUGGAAGUGAAAGGGAGCAGCGAGUGUCCUAAGCAGAGUCUAUGUAGAAACGAAUCUCCUGGUGAGAGUCGCCUCAGCCCUGUCCAGGUGCAGCACCAGUGAUGCCUGCAGAAAUCUCCCUCAGAAUGAGAUCCACUCUUCCCGGAGGAUGCUGAGCCCUCCUGUGUGGGGGCUGUUUCUUCUUCCCGGUCCCCAUGGAGCACAGGCCUGGGAGGUGGGAUAGGAGUCUUUUUCGUUUCUCAUCGUGUCUUUCUGACCAUUUCUUCCUGCCUUCCUCAAACAUUCUGGCCUUUCGAGGUAAGUGCCAUUCCCAUAUGUAUUCAUCUGGAGUCUCCAGACAACAGGACCGGUUUCCUGUACCCUAUAUAUUAUGUAUGUGUCUUAUAUAUUUUAUAUUUUUGUAUUUACUAUAAGCAAUUGGCUUACAUGACUAAUGAGGCUGAGAAGUCUAAGAUGGGCAGUUGGCAAACUGGGGACCCAGGAGGGCUGCGGGUACAGUUUCAGUGUGAAUUCAAAGGCCUGACAACCAGGGAGCCAAUCUGUGGGAGGUCCCGUCUGAAUCCGAGUCUGAAGGUGGGAGGGGACCGAUGUUGCAGCUCAAACACGGAGAGGCGGAAGGGAAGGCUUCUCUCCUUCUCUGCCUUUUGGUCAAUGUUCUUUGCCUUCGGUGGGUUGGAGGAGGCCCACCCACACUGGGAAGGGCAAUUUGCUUCACUAAGUGUGCAGAUUCAAACAUUGCUUUCAUCUAGGAACACCUUCACAGAAACACCCAGAGAAUGUUGGACCAAAUAUCUGGGUGCUCUGUGGCCCAGGCAAGUCAGUACCUAUAAUUAGGCAUCACGCCAUAUUCAUUUGUCACUGUCCUCUGCCUGUCUUCUGGUCACUUCCUGUUCUCUGAAGGUUUGGAAACUCACUUCAUUCUUAUUAUCUGGGGAACUGUGGAGUUCCACUCAAAGCCUCCUCAAAACUUGGGACAUGGGCUACAAGUGUGGUCAGAGAGUGAGAGACUUCCAGAGAGAUGGCCCCUCUGGAAGGGUGGGCUUGCAUUUCAAGGGGGAGGGUGCGACCCAGGGCCACUGCAUGUUCCUGUGUUCUAAAUCUGGAGACACUAAUCAUCUCUUCCUCUUAGGGUAAUUUAUGCACAUUUCAAAGGGUGAGAAUCCGGGAUCCUUCCCAGGGAAGAUUUAUUUAUACUAGGAAGCGACAACCUCCAUCGCCGUCACCCUGUCAAAUGCGCCGUCAUCUCUUACUGCUGAUGUUCUCCCAGUUCCUCCUACGUCACAGAAUAAUCAGUGAUAUUUUAAGAUACAAAUCAGAUUGUAUCAUUCUCUGCUCUGAAACCCCUAAAGCUUCUCAACACAUUUAGAAAAAGUACCCCCCAUUUUUUUGAUCAUGGCCCAUAAGUCUCUACAUGUCUGUAUAACUUUAUGAUCCUGAAUUCCUCCAUACUCCUUCUCUCUCAUUUUACUCCAACCUCAUUGGUCUUGCAAUUUCUGAAACACGCCAAGCCCGUGCCUGCCCCAGAGCUCCUAUCCUUGUAGCACCUUCCCUUGAAUCCUUGCUCUGUGCCCAGAUCAUCAGCAGGCUUGCUCCCUCAGGACAGGGCUAAACUGGCACCUCCAUGGGCAGGACCUCUCUGUCAACCAUACCUGUAAUUGUCCCCUGCCCUCCUCCUGCCCCCUCUAUCCCUUCACCUGCCCUAUUAUUCCUGGUAGUGUUUAGUAGUAUUUAAAAUCAGUAUCAUAGACUCAUUCCUUUGUUAGCUUAUUGUCUGUUUCUGCCAGAAAAUGGGCAUUACAAGGGGCCUUAAAAGUUUGUCUUGUCUGUUGAUGUUUUGUGCAUUACUGACCAGUACAGCUCCUGGCACAUAAAAGGGCUCAAUUUUUUUUGAUGAAUGAAUGAGUGAAGGGCAGUAUCUGAGCCUUUGAUUCAAUAAACCCAUCUCUUCCACAUCUUAAGUUCUUGGAGAGGGAAUGAAAAGAGGUACACUUCCAGUUUUCUACAUGAUUCAUUCUUUAUCAGACAGAUCAACACACCAGCAAGCGUACAGGGUGAAGGGUCUGUAUGGAGCUAUGGGAGACAGGGGUGCUGGGCCGGGCUGGCAUGUUGCAUGUUCCCCAACACAGCAGAAUAAGAGCCCACAGGGCACAUCAUGCAGGGGGAGUAUCUGAUGGGCUGGUGGCUGCUGCAUCAUGGAGGUCAUGGCCCUGUGCUUGUUCCUCUGGUUUUCUGCUGAACCCACAUAGUUUUUGAAUAUAAUGACAGCUGGAAGAGGGUUCUCCCCUCCUCCUGUUUACAAAAUGAGCUGGUACCCUGCUGUUACAGUCUGCAGGAGAAGUCACCAAGCAUGACCUUCCAAUUAAAUCAUGUAUCCAGCAUCUCUCAUUUCUGAUGACAUCUUUGAAGUGCUGAGACACCCCUGGGCAUGUGAUGUGAAAGAAUACUGGUCCACAGAACAACUCCUUCAUCCAGGGAGGAGGUUCUAGCAGGUGAGUCCCUGAAUUUAUGUGAAGAGCAGAAUGGCCCCCUCUCAUCCCCUACUUCCUCCCAGCCAGGCUUCAGGACCCAGUAGGUCCAGCAGGGCUCACGCUUCUGUAGCCUUUGUUUAACAUCAUGAGUUUUUUUGUAGCUUUGACCAAACAUUUUUUUAUGAUUGCAAAAUUGAAAUUUACAUUUAUUAUGUGUUAAAAAAUAGUUACUUUGUCCUGGUCCGGUUCCUGCACUGGCACCCUGGGUGGAGUAGCAUUUUGGAGUGCAUGCUGACUUUAUUGUUUCUACCUGCAGCAAUUGACAGCCUUGGGGUCACAUGGAGCUGCAAAUUAGAGGUGCCUUAUGGUGGAUAAUGAUACGCGAGAGCAUUUACCGGAGCUCCUAUGUGCCAGGUCUGUGCCGAGGGCAGCACUUUGCAUGCACACUCACUCCUCACCCACCCUCUUUUCAUACUGUCCCCAAGGCAGCAGGGAACCGGCUCAUGUCAAGGUCACCAACGACUGCCAUCUUGUGAAGGUCCAGGAAAGCUACCUCAGUUCCCUCAUGCAUUCUCUUGGAAGCGUCUGAUUCCCGUGACUACUUCCUUCUUCUUCAGCUCCUGUGUUGUUUCAUUGUCCUGAUUUUCCUCCUCGCCCAGAUUGCCGUCUCUGUUUUCACCAGAUCACUUGCUGGAGAACCCCUCGUCUGUGGCCUUCGUCCUGUCUGUCUGUUUACAUUUUUUCCUCAGAUUUAUGUCACCUCUUCAGAGAGGCCUUCCUUGCCUGAUGGGGAAACCGAGACUCAGGGAAAUCCAGUAACUUGUGUGAAUCUCCUCUGCUGAAUUGAGAACACAGUGCCAUGCAGGGCUUAUAAAGGACCGCCCUGCAGAGGCUACAGGGGAUAGAAGGAAGCAAAAGAGGUGGAUAAGGAGGAAGUGAGCCCAUGAGCAUCUUUGGCAACAGCCACAGAGCCCAGUCACGGAACAACUGGAUGUUAAAUAAAAUGGGGAGUGAGCCUGCUAACUCCUCGGUACAGCCAAAAAUAUGACAUUGCACUGUAAGCCAUAGAUCACAAAAUCAGGACUGCAAAACUAACCUGCUGUCCCCACCAGAGGAAUAUUAUUUAUUUCUUAGGGAGGUAAAGUAGGCACAUGACCCUCAUUCAUACCUGUAUCUGUAGUUAGCACCUUAUACUUAAUUUAGCAACCUAGUUAAUACUCAACAAUUGUUUGCCCCUGAUUAUUCUCCAUAAGCCCCCUAGUUUAACAUUGCCAUUAAAAAAUCCCGGUGGGUAUUGCUUGAAGUAGAAAUAUUUGAAACUGGUGACCAACAUUGUUACAGGCUUGGAAUUGGAAAGAUUCCAUUAAAAGCAAGAAUGGAUGUAUUAACUCUUGUGUUAGGUCAUUUAGGUGGUUUUGUUAGGUGCUUCUCUACCCAAACCUUCCUGGGAGAGAGAAAGACAGGAGAUCCUUAUGAUGGGCCAAGAAAGAAGGUUAUUGCAUGAACAGACUCAGCUACCAGCAUGUGCUAAGUUUAAUAGUGUCCCCCAAAUUCAUGUCCAUCUAGAACCUGUGAAUGUGACUUUAUUCAGAAAUAGGGUCUUUGCUGAUAUUAUCAAGUCAAGAUGAAGCCAUUAGGAUAGGUCCUAAAUCCAAUACGACUAAUGUCUUUAUCAAAGGGGAAAUUGGACCAGGAGAUACAGACACGCAGGGAGAAGGCUGUGUGGAAGCAGAGGCAGAGACUGCAGUGAUGCAGUGGUGAGCCUUAGGAGAGCCCAGGGGUCCCAGGGGGGCCGACCACCACCAGAGGUCGGGCAGGCACGAGAAAGGGUCCCCCGCUAGUCUUCAGACAGAGCAUGGCCCUGCCGGUACUUGGAUUUCCCGU